UUGAUUCUAGAUAAUACAUUCAGACUGCAGACAGAUUUUGGGCAUAAAUACGGCGUCGGGACGCCGAAGCACGGUUUUGCUUCCACAGAGUUGAAGGGCAGAAGGUACAUGACCUUUCGUUAAUGAUCCCUCCGCAGGUUCACCUACGGAGA
rnacentral:misc_RNA from 1 species